CUCAUUUGAGCCCCUUGCCUGCCUGGCUGCCUCUCCCACUCCUCACCUCAAACUCUCCUCAAGACAGGUGACAACCAUAGGGUCUCUGCCUCUCUGCCUCUCCGCCUCUCCGCCUCUCCGCCUCUCCGGAAACCCUAAAUCUGCCUUCGAGAGGUGACCUUCUCUGAAAUGUAACAAUCAGACAUUCAACCCCGGCACUGGCCAUGAAAUGUAACAAUCAGACAUUCAACCCCGUCUCUGGCCGUACUUCCGUUAGAAAGAUCGACGACGACGGUGUUGCCGCCAUUGAGCUCGCUGCCGGUGGGGUACAGGUUCCACCCGACGGACGAGGACCUCAUCAAUCACUAUCUGAAGCUGAAAAUCAACGGCUCGAAGGCUGAAGUCGGUGUGAUUCCCAAAAUUGACAUUUGUAAACUCGAGCCGUGGGACCUGCCUGGUUGAUGUGUUCUCCUUUAAUUUGGUAUUGUCUUAUGGGAGGUUCUCACUGGAGAGGAGCCUUAUGACAACACGCAUUACGGUGCAAUCAUAGGUGUGUUUCUUGGAUUCUCUUGUAUGUUGUUUCAGAUGAGCAAUCAGUGGAGUAAUUUUGAAAAGGCACCGGCUGGGAGUUUUAAGAGCAAAAUUCAUGGGUAAUCGAGUUCUUGCUUCUGUUUAGAACUGUUGCUUGACAUAUAUACUUCCAAUCUUCAUUGACAGGAAAAUGCUUGUGUCUAUGUAAUGAGAACCAUGAAGCACAUAAGGUCUUUCUUGAAAAUGUAUCUUUGGUCACUACUCACUACAGAUCCAUUUGUAUUCCGGUCCCCAAUAUUCUUCUCAAUUUAGUAGGUUAUGUUCUCAAUUUUGUAGUGUGUUUUUGUGCAUCUUAUAUUUGAAGUUUGGACUUUAGA